ACUCCUGACCUCAAAUGAUCCAUCCAUCUCAGCCUCCCAAAGUGCUGGGAUUAUAGGCGUGAGUCACCCCUACACAUACAUUUCUAAGUAUGCGCACAUACAUGUAUAUGCAUAUACAGUGUCUGGCAUGUGGUGGUGCUAAACAACUUAUUUCCUUGCUUGGUCCCUUUCUGGCUUGCUCCAGCUCUGCUCCACCCAGUGACAGUCUUCAAAGGCUCCUGCUAACUGGCUUAGGAUCUGAUUCUCCAAGAUGCUGUUGGAGGGACAGUAUCUGGAUCAUCGGCUCCAUAAGGACAGGAAUUUCUUUUUGUUUUGUUCCCUGCUGUACCUAUGUGCCUGGGAACAGUGCCUUGCCUGCAGCAGCUGCUUGCUAAAUAUUUGUUGAGUGAUGGAUGAAUGAAUGAAUGAAUAAACGAUGUGCGAAAGCAAGGCGAGUGUGUCCCUCUAAUGCUGCUCCACCCCAGGGCAGCUCCUCUCCAGGUUUAGUUCUGACAAUUUCCCUCAUUUUGACAUAUACAGGGAUUUUCACACUCUGGGGAGAUUCUAAUACAAGAGAUCUGGGAUUGGGCUCAAGAGUCUACAGGUAACCCCCAAAGACCAUGCUUUGAGAAGCUUUUCUCUAACGCUUUUCCCCCCUCAGGGUUCCAAAUGGAGAACAUGCAAUGUAAGGAAAGGUCACGACAGGCACCAGCUAAUGGCUCGGGGUGGUGCAGCUGCUGGGUCCCUGGGCUGGAGCAGAGCCCAAACCUCAGCAGGGUGGACAGGUCUGCACUCACGAGAAGGCGGCCUUGCCCUCCUCCAUGUCCUUGCCCUUGGCCCCGGGCCCGGCUUUUCCACACAGGUUGACCGCAAUGCACAUGAACAGGCCACAUUUGUUCAGGAAGUAGCAGGUGAUGUCCACGACCACCAGGAGCAGGACGAAGAUGACGAUGAGGAUGCCCACGAUGGCCCCGGUGCUCAGGCCUGAGGUGGGGCUGCCGUUGGCUUGAGAGGGAGAGAGAUGGCUGAUGGUUAAUAGACUGAGAUGCGAGACCUCCGGACCCUGCCAGCAAAAGCCCCUGGGGGUGGGGAGGUCCCAGAGGACUGAGUCAUGGCAUUCAUGCCCAGAGUGACACCUUCCUGGGGCCUUUCUAUGGCCCAGAGUUGAGAAAACAGGGUCUCUCUAUACCUUCCAGAGGGAGGGAUGACAACGUCACCUCACAGAUUGGGGGAUGAGGGUGAGCCUGGUCAGCUGGCCUCCCGUGAGUCCUGGGAGCAGACUGAGCCCCGCCUGUCUGAGAACACUGGCUAAUGAGGCAGUUGGAGGGCACCGCUGUGUUUCCCCUGGACCAGGGCAAGAGGCUCUGCAGCACAGGCAGGCAGUGACCACUGAUUUCAGGCGGGGCUGUGGCUCCUGGAGUACUCAGGGACAGGGGCCCAAAAUGGGGUAGUGGAGGGUUUCCGGGGCUUUCUUGGGGCUUGUUGGGCUGUCCAUCACAAUAGCAUCCCCAUUAUACUUCUCCACUUCCUCUUUCCCUCUUUAGGAAUGAUCCCAAAGGAACCCUGCAUUAGAGCACACUGGGUUCAUGGUUUACCCUCCUCACUGCACCCCAGAAAGACGAGUGAAGCCCAGGUGACUCCAGAGACAUGGAGGCCUCCCCAGGCCCACUGGGCAAGGUGAAAGGUCUGGGAAUACUCACCAUCUAGGAGCUCAGGCCUGCUUGGACCAGACUUCAGGAAAACCUGAAGGUUCCAGGCCACUGCAGCCUCCGGACAUCAGGACCCGACAGGUGGGAAGUGCCUACUCCCUGAAGAAAGAGCUAGAAGUAUUUUUUUUUUUUGAUGACAGUGGGGAAUGUGUCUGGAUUUUUGGACUCAAUGGCACUAAUUAUAUCUUCUGAGGUUUAUGUGUAAAUAUGAUUUUGUGAAACUAAUCAUAUCUCUAAAGAGGAAAAAUAAACUCCUGCAAAGCUGCUCUAUGUGCUUGAGAGGACAGCAGCUGAGACAACUGCUCUGUGCUCAUCAGACCCAGCUGGAGGGCGGCGCUGGCACUGCGCACAUCCAGGGGAGGGCCAGGCAGGGAAAAGCCUUCUGAACUGUGGCAUAAACAAGUAGGGCAGCAGCCUCCCCUUUCAUUUGAAUAUAAAAUUCAAAGUCUUUCGCCCGGCCUAAAAGGCUCUGCCCACCCCUCUGUUGGGCCUCAUGGCAUGAACCAGCAGCCUCCCUUCUGCCUGCUGAACACACCCAGCUCGUCCCGCUUUAGAGCCUUGAUGAUUCUGUGCGUGGAACUCUCCCUCCGGGGUGGCUCUCUGUUGUCCUGCAGGCCUCAGUCCUGGUGUCACCUUCUCAGAGAAGCCUUAUCUGAUCUCUUAUCUAGUGUGGCACCUCCAGCCAGUAUCUACCAUGCUGCUAGCCUGUUUUAUUCUCUUCUUACUACUAUCUGCCACUUUCUGUUCAUUUACAUGCUUAUGAUCUAGCCAUCCCCUCUAGGACAUCCCAGCAGGUAUCCUGCCUGUCUCUCUUGUAUCUCCCCAGCAUCUAGGACAAUCCUGAUUCACAGAAAAUGUCCAAAGAAUAUUUGUUGCACAAAUGCAUGAGUGUUUAGUCUGGAGAUGAGAAUGCUAUUUCCCAAUAUUUACAGGUGUUCUAGGAAGAAGUAAUCUUACUGUAUAUGGCACCAACGUGUGGAAAUUACGGUGGUGGCAGAUUUUAGCUCCAACUGAGAAAGGACUAAUAAACAGCACUAAUCCAA